rnacentral:rRNA from 1 species
GAUGAACGCUGGCGGCGUGCCUAAUACAUGCAAGUCGAGCGAACGGACGAGAAGCUUGCUUCUCUGAUGUUAGCGGCGGACGGGUGAGUAACACGUGGAUAACCUACCUAUAAGACUGGGAUAACUUCGGGAAACCGUAGCUAAUACCGGAUAAUAUUUUGAACCGCAUGGUUCAAAAGUGAAAGACGGUCUUGCUGUCACUUAUAGAUGGAUCCGCGCUGCAUUAGCUAGUUGGUAAGGUAACGGCUUACCAAGGCAACGAUGCAUAGCCGACCUGAGAGGGUGAUCGGCCACACUGGAACUGAGACACGGUCCAGACUCCUACGGGAGGCAGCAGUAGGGAAUCUUCCGCAAGGGGCGAAAGCCUGACGGAGCAACGCCGCGUGAGUGAUGAAGGUCUUCGGAUCGUAAAACUCUGUUAUUAGGGAAGAACAUAUGUGUAAGUAACUGUGCACAUCUUGACGGUACCUAAUCAGAAAGCCACGGCUAACUACG